AGAGAAAUCUGAAAAGCAGCCUUGGUGGGCUGGCUUGGCUAGGUCUGAUGCUGGCUCCCUUGCCCCUUAACUGCCUGGCUGGUGGGACAGAGUUGCCUACUCUCUAAAGUCCAGCCAGGCAGAGACAAAGUUCCCCACCGCUUGCUCCGAGCUCCCAUCAGCUCCUGCUCCCGCCUUCCUCCACAUUCCUGCGCUGAACUUGGCGGAGUCCAGCGGCUGGCGUACCUUCCCUGGGCUCCUCCGCUUCGGAGAGCAUGCUGUCGGGGUGCACAGCCACAGGCGCCACCGCCACGGACAUGGACGUGAGGCUGCGAGGCUCCUAGACGAGGCCUUGUUUUAGCAUCAACCCUAGAGUGAGGGGCUCCAAGUAAAAUGCCUGAAAGGAAAACAGCCAAUGGAAAGAAAUCUCUGGCUGGAGAGUGUUACCUUCUCCUAUAACUGAGAAAGGACCUUAAGAAAAAAAAAAACCUCAAACAUCCAUUUGCUUAUCUAUAAAAUGAAGACAAAAGCAAUAUGUGAUUCACAGAUUUGUCUGGUUAUUACAGAUGGCACUAUAAACAAAGUGAUUUGAAACUCUAAGUUCUGCACACGGGUCGUCACUAACUAUUGCACCUCAUUACAAUAAACUUUGUAAAGUGUACUCUUGCUUUUU
ensembl:processed_transcript C030005K06Rik uncharacterized LOC115065518